UACGUAGGCAGCAAGCGUUGUUCGGAAUUACUGGGCGUAAAGGGUGCGUAGGCGGCUUUUUAAGUUUGGUGUGAAAUCUCCCGGCUCAACUGGGAGGGUGCGCCGAAUACUGAGAAGCUAGAGUGUGGGAGAGGAAAGUGGAAUUCCUGGUGUAGCGGUGGAAUGCGCAGAUAUCAGGAGGAACACCAAUAGCGAAGGCAGCUCGCUGGGACGUUACUGACGCUGAGGCGCGAAAGCGUGGGGAGCGAACAGG
rnacentral:rRNA from 1 species